rnacentral:misc_RNA from 1 species
UAAAUUGUUUCAACUAAAGAGGUGAAGAGGGCAUCCAAAAAUGGGGUCCAGAAAAAUUCUAAGAGCCUUGAAUGUUACAAGUUCAAUCUCAAAGCAAAACACUCGUUUCUUCUAAAGGCCAUCUCUAUGGUUCAUGAUUCAAGCUCCCGUCCAUCAUCCAUGAACUUCUUUUUCUGUCCUGCAGACAGAAACGGAUCUUACCACCUAUUAUUAGGUGGCUUCACCUUGUAAAUACGGACGAUCCA